rnacentral:rRNA from 1 species
GCAUAUCAAUAAGCGGAGGAAAAGAAACCAACAGGGAUUGCCCUAGUAACGGCGAGUGAAGCGGCAACAGCUCAAAUUUGAAAUCUGGCCUUACGGUCCGAGUUGUAAUUUGCAGAGGAUGCUUCUGGCGACGUGCCUUCCGAGUUCCCUGGAACGGGACGCCAUAGAGGGUGAGAGCCCCGUCCGGUCGUGCACCUAGCCUCUGUGAAGCUCCUUCGACGAGUCGAGUAGUUUGGGAAUGCUGCUCUAAAUGGGAGGUAUACGUCUUCUAAAGCUAAAUACCGGCCAGAGACCGAUAGCGCACAAGUAGAGUGAUCGAAAGAUGAAAAGCACUUUGAAAAGAGGGUUAAAUAGUACGUGAAAUUGCUGAAAGGGAAGCGCUUAUGACCAGACUUGGGCUCGGUGAAUCAUCCGGCGUUCUCGCCGGUGCACUUUGCCGUCCCAGGCCAGCAUCAGUUCGCGCCGGGGGAUAAAGGUUUCGGGAAUGUGGCCCCCUAGGGGGUGUUAUAGCCCGUUGCGUAAUACCCUGGCGUGGACUGAGGUCCGCGCUCUGCAAGGAUGCUGGCGUAAUGGUCAUCAGUGACCCGUCUUGAAACACGGACCAAGGAGUCGUCUUCGUAUGCGAGUGUUCGGGUGUCAAACCCCUACGCGUAAUGAAAGUGAACGUAGGAGAGAGCUUCGGCGCAUCUCCGACCGAUCCUGAUGUUCUCGGAUGGAUUUGAGUAAGAGCAUACGGGGCCGGACCCGAAAGAAGGUGAACUAUGCCUGUAUAGGGUGAAGCCAGAGGAAACUCUGGUGGAGGCUCGCAGCGGUUCUGACGUGCAAAUCGAUCGUCAAAUAUGGGCAUGGGGGGCGAAAGACUAAUCGAACCUUCUAGUAGCUGGUUUCCGCCGAG